UGGUGUGGGAGUUUAAAUCUAUAAUCUCUGCAUACUCACGGAAAGGCUGAGGACUAUUCUAAAUAAAUGCAACAGCCUUGGAAAUUCAGGCCUUAGCAUUUGAAUCAUUUUUAAUGAACUCUUUUAAAGCAGAGGUGCUGGAAAGCAAAAGUGGAGGGGAGAGGAAGGACAGGCACAAACUGAAGAUGUUGUUUGCAGAGAAACCUCGAAGCUUCAUGCCAAAUCCAGCUCUUUCCAGUCAGCAUUCUGGAAAAGCUGCAGCUUCCAUCCAAACAGGAGAGAAGGUGAGCAGCUAUGCAGACAGCUGACAUUGCUGCCUCACGGGAUGAGAAAAUUGAGAGGAUGCCCGGUUUGGACAUUUUCUGAGCUAUACAAGAGUGAGAAACUGGAACCAUGUAAGGAAAAAAUGACAAAAAGUUAAUUCACAGAAGUUUUAUACAUGUUGUCUAAGAAAAUGCCAGGCACUAUGGAACCCUUCAGCAUCCCAGCUGCAGUGCUCCAGUGGCAUCAGCUACCGUAACCAUGUCCCUGCUGGAUGGCAUUUGCUGCACCCAGGUCUUCCCCCCUCCUGCCCAUCACUUGCUCAGCCUACGAGGUCUCUGGGAUUGCACACAGAUAUUCUCAAUUGGCUGGUGCAGCUUGAGUGUCAUGAAAAUGAACUGUGACCACAAGUCACAGUGAACAGGAAAGAAAUGUCUCCAUCCAGACAGCAGCUGCAGGACAGGUCCAAAAGUUAUUUACUGCUCUUAAAGCCAAAACUGUUGUCUUGAGUGAAUACACAAGAGCCUUAGUGCCUCCCUUAUCCACUUGCUAUAAACUCUGUUUCUUCUGCUUUACAAUAUCCUGGACAAAAAAUUUGGAAGACGCAGAACUCCAUGGAUGGAACUUCAUGGAGAAAUGAACUAUCUCUCGGUGUGCUGGUCCCUCCACAAUGCACAGCCACACUGAAGCUGUCAGCAUGGCCCUGCAUGCAAGUUAAGAAGUUUUGCCUCCUAACCAAGGUGAAUUACUAUGAAAGUAGCAUCAAAGGCUGAUCCAACAAUCUAGCUUCCAGUCCGGGCUAGAGCAGCUGGAAUUAAUAUAGUAACUUUUGCCCUGCAACCUAUUUCAGAAUCUGGAGGAAGCUGCCUGUACCCAUUAUAAACUCUUGCUGUCUAAAGUAUACUGGAAGUGUAGGCAGAUUGCAGCAUCUCAGAGGAGAUAUUUGAUAUUUGCUUACCAAAGCCAAAAGACCAGGAUGGAAUUAAGAAUCAAUGACUAUGGAUAAAUAUCUAAAGUAAAAACUAGUUGCCUUUGAAGACUUUCUUACACUUUUAUCUCAGCUCUUAGCAUUUAUUUUUGGUUUUCCACCCACAAAGUCUUUUUUAUUGACUGAAAUUAAAUAUUAAUUCACUUUUCAAGCUACACAGUAGAAACCUGAUCAAAGGCAAAUGGUAACUGUAAUAAGUAGUAGUUAAAUUCUAUAAGUAUAAAGUAAUUUAUAAAUUUUCUUCUAAACUAUAGCACUGACCUAAACAUGUCAAAAGGCUCUGGGACUAACUGACUUGUACACCAUUACACAGACACACCCAUAAUAUAUUGGCUAAAAUUGCUUAUUUUCCAUAAAAAGGAAUAGAAACAAGGCAGCUGAGUCUCUUAGACUUGUAAGCUUUAAAUAUCUGCCAGCAUUAUUAAAUGAGAACAUUAAUUACUAAUGGUAUGAGAGGAUAAAUUCUGCCUGUUCUAAAUAUGAAAUAUUCAAGACCAAAUUUCCACAGAAAUAAAAGAUGUUCCAGGUGAAAGAUCUGGAUCCAGCAUCCUACUUUGUCAGAAACUUUUUGUGAGACCUUAAAGCAGAUGGUGUGAACCUCAGGUCCACAUUUGUACAACAGGGCUUCUCUGCUCUGUCAUAUGAUUGUAAAUCUCAAAUCACUUCAAUAUUACAAGGAACUGUACUAAAACAAUGAUAGUAGGGACAGAUACAUGAAUCUGCUUGUCUGCAUUUAAUUUGUAAGUAAGGCUCAUUAACUUUUCUUCUCACAUACAAAAAAAUGCUCAUGCUUUCUUUAAUAGAUGUCUUUUCACCCCAGAGCUAAGCCUGUGGCACUAAAUCUAUACUAGGAGUGAUUUACACAACAAAAAAGAUGGGAAUAUUCUCAGGCACAAUGUAUACCCCUCCCUGGGGUGUCUUGGUUUUGGGUUGGUUUGGUGACAUGCUGAUGUGACUGAGCUCAGCACCUCACUUUGCACGGUGAUUUUUGCAUGCAUACACCCAACACACACAGAGAAGCUGUCAGUAAACAGGCAGGAACAGCUGUCCCCAGCUCACUUUAAAAUUCUGACCUACACAGCUGGAGAAAACACUGCUUUGCUUUCACAGAAGGAAUAAUCUCACUCACAAGUAGGCUAGUCAUCAGACCUCCUCUCUCAGGAGAUGCCUGUCACUACUCUGAAGUUCCUUGCUGAGAAUUAAGACAUGGAAAACUGGAGACCCUUUGUACGGCCACUGCCUAUGACUGAAAGGUCGGACAAUAGAAACAAAAGUUAUUUGAGAUACUGUGCUAAGAAUUUUUUAAAAGAAAGGGAAAAUAAUGCCAUGGAUUUUAGGAAUAAAAACCCUAAUAGGCACUGAGAUUUCAACACAUGUAGAUACUUGCUGAUUAUACUUAUCUUACUCUCUACCCUGUCCUCUCAUCAUCACCAAGCCUGGUGGCCUGGUGGCCUUCAGGGUUUCUUAUGGUCAAAGGAUAAUAUGAACAUACACACUAUUGUGCAGAAGAAGCAGAGUGCACCUGCACAACUUGGGCUACAGAUCUUAUGUGGAAGGGGAUGGAAAGACUGCUUUUGCUGUUCAGACACAACCUGGCUUUGUGCUUUUUAUAUUAAUUUUAAUCUAUUAUCUCGCUUCCCCUUUUUUUUCAAUACUGUAAAUGUCCUUUAAAAACUGUGUUUUAAAAUAGCACCCUUAAUUCUGGAACCUGGCUUAUCUGUGAAAACUUACCAAACAAUGAAUGCCAAAGUAUUUGGCACCAUUGAAUAAAUUUAUCAGCAUUUUUUAUCCACAGAAAAAUAUAUCUUCUUUUUUUCUUACAUGCUAGAUCAGUGUUAAGUCAGUGCACACCAGAGUCAAUGGUUGGUUGCUCUUCUUCUAUAAACACGGAGAUCUCAGGUGACUUAGGUGAACAUCCCUCUGGAGAGGAGGUUUCAUUCCAGAGAAGUUAAAACAAUAGUUAUGGUGAUAUUAAAAAAUAAACAUCUAGCAAAAAUGUAAAAAUGCUGUGAGAUUCUUUUGUUUAGACCUAAAGAAA